GACGAACGCUGGCGGCGUGCUUAACACAUGCAAGUCGAGCGGUAAGGCCUCUUCGGGGGUACACGAGCGGCGAACGGGUGAGUAACACGUGGGUGACCUGCCCUCAGCUCUGGGAUAAGCCUGGGAAACUGGGUCUAAUACCGGAUAUGACCUUUCCUCGCAUGGGGUUUGGUGGAAAGUUUUUUCGGCUAGGGAUGGGCCCGCGGCCUAUCAGCUUGUUGGUGGGGUGAUGGCCUACCAAGGCGACGACGGGUAGCCGGCCUGAGAGGGCGACCGGCCACACUGGGACUGAGACACGGCCCAGACUCCUACGGGAGGCAGCAGUGGGGAAUAUUGCGCAAUGGGCGGAAGCCUGACGCAGCGACGCCGCGUGGGGGAUGACGGCCUUCGGGUUGUAAACCUCUUUCGACCCCGACGAAUUUGGACGGUAGGGGUAGAAGAAGCACCGGCCAACUACGUG
rnacentral:rRNA from 1 species